AGUCAAGAAUGGCCAGAUUUCCGCUGGUCACGUGACCUCAACAUGGCGUCAACAGGUGGAAGAAACUCAAGCCGUGUAUGUGAAAUACGUCCAUCCAGCAAGUUUUCAUCUCACUGAAGAACACUCUGUGUGGCGGCGAAGUGCAGACAAAUGACCAGCAGAGGGCGCUGUUUGCCUCAGUCAGGUUCCUGUAAUGGUCGUCGGCAACUUUUCAAAGGGCAACUAGAAUCCUGAGAGUCCACCUCGCUACACCAUAGAGGUCACAAAUGCUCCCCAGUACCCACACAUAAAGGCCUCCUGUCGGAGAUGCUAACCGAUGAAGAGCCCGAACAGUCAACCUCAAGCGUGGACUUCAAGAGGGUCAUGACGGAAGAUCGCCACUCACAAUGAAGUAUCAACGGACUUUACUAUUUGUAAUCCAUAAUUAAUUCCACUGGUAAUUAAAACUUAAUAUGUCAAUAUUGUCUCUGUUAUCGUGCAUGUGGAAAAACUGCAGCGUGUUGGGAACAUAAACAGAUUGUGUUUUAAUAUUUCUGUUUUCAAACGUUUAUUUCUCGCUUUAAGUAAAACUGGGAAAAGAUACCAUACAUAAAUAUACAACACAUAAUAAAAUGAUUCUAAUCCAAGCAGUUUCGUUUUAUGUUUUUUUUUACUAUUUGUUUACUAUAUCAUACUUUCAUUAUGACCCAUCUACUUUAUAAUGAGAAAGGUAACACAGAAAUGUUUAUUUCAUAUGUUUAGGUCUUAUGCAGGCUAUAAAAGAAACUUUAGGUAUCUAUAGCACCAUAUGCCAUGGCAAAUUCCCUUAUGAAAUUUUAAAUCUAAUUUCUAUGUAGCUACACAGCUCUUCCUUACUUUAGGCCCUCUAUAAUGUAUUGCAUAUGGAGCAGGCGCAAGGUGGCAGUGUUGUUUGAUUUAGUCCUCAUGGAAUGACAGUGUUGGAUGAUUGAACACGUGUGCGUAAAAAAAGAGAGUGAGCGAGCUCUUGAAUCUGAAAGUGUGUGUAAUAGAGACAGCGAACUGGUGAUUCUGGCUCCGCAACAAAAACUGACAUAAACCUAUAGCAUAUAUUUGUUAUGCAACAACAACUAGCUGCUGAAUAUGUUUACAUCUACAGCGAAAUGUACCCCUAAAAUAAAAAAUUAGUUAGUGUGUGAGACAAAGAGAAUUUAAGAUAAGUAAAAAAAAAUGAAGUGCUGGGGCGUAUGUGUGUGUGUAAAUAAAUGAGUGAACAAGUGUGUUUGAUUGUGUAAAUGGUAUACAAUGCUUGUCAUUAUAAUAAAGACACAACCAGAAUACACAGUUGGUAUGGUAAAUGAUAAGAACCGCGACAGAGGUUAAUGCGGUUGGAUUUUUGCCCGCUGCCAGUCUCUCAAAAACAUAACACUCAAAUACUUAUUGUUAAAUUAUUAAAUAACUAUAAAAUAAUAUCAUUGAUGAGAAUAAUCAAUAUGUUCUAAAUAUAAUUCACAUUAUUCUAACACAAUUUCAUAGGAUACCCUCAUGAGUGCACACAAUAUGGGCUGAAUAUUGUUUUUGAUUAAUCGAUUGACAUUUAUCAACAGUCUCUAAGUAAUUCAAUUGCACAUUGUCAGGGAAACUAAAUACAAUGAAGUCGUUUAUAGUAAUCACAUGAUGGAACGAAUCAGAAAGCUAAGCACAGUCAAACAUACCACAUGUGAAAGCUUGUGAUUAAAAUGAUUAUACAGUAGGCUUAAUAACCCAAAACCACACCCGUUUAGACACAACUUAACUCCAUCUUACAAAAAUCUUGAACUCAAUGUCGUUGAAACAAAUAAUUAUCAACAAUAGACCUGCGCAGCAACAGCAUAAGUCACUUGUGAACAAGGGAUUGCGCGUUCACAAUCAAUAAAGUACACUGGAAACGCCACAACAACAAAAUACAUACAAUAUCUGCAUAAGUUACAUGCCCGAUAGUCUAUGUUCAGCACAUCACCUCUGACAUUAAUAUUGUGCUAAUAUCAAACCUCCGCGUUGUGUAAAUGCAGGUCUGUAAGAAGCCAAUAAGGAGCGCAGAAUCAC